rnacentral:misc_RNA from 1 species
GGAAUUACAUUGACUUCAGUAAGUAAAUAAAUGAAGUCAAAAUCUAGCAGUUUUAAAUGUUAUGUCUUCUAAGAAAGAAGUCAUAUUAUCACUACAAGACAUCUCAUCUAUAGAACACCUGUUCUAACUUUACACUAUACAUGCAAAAAAACCAAAAAACUUAAUCAAACAGGAUAGUUUUAAGGUAUGAUUUUGCAGCCA